rnacentral:rRNA from 1 species
UACAUGGGGUGCAAACGUUGCUCGGAAUUAUUGGGCGUAAAGCGCACGUAGGCGGUUCGUUAAGUCGGAUGUGAAAGCCCUCGGCUCAACUGAGGAAGUGCACCCGAAACUGGCGAGCUUGAGUACGAAAGAGGAUCGCGGAAUUCCCGGUGUAGAGGUGAAAUUCGUAGAUAUCGGGAGGAACACCGGUGGCGAAGGCGAGUCUCUGGACGACUCCUGACACUGAGGCACGAAAGCUAGGGGAGCAAACAGG